rnacentral:rRNA from 1 species
UUAAGCGACUAAGCGUACACGGUGGAUGCCCUGGCAGUCAGAGGCGAUGAAGGACGUGCUAAUCUGCGAAAAGCGUCGGUAAGGUGAUAUGAACCGUUAUAACCGGCGAUGUCCGAAUGGGGAAACCCAGUGCAAUUCGUUGCACUAUCGUUAACUGAAUACAUAGGUUAACGAGGCGAACCGGGGGAACUGAAACAUCUAAGUACCCCGAGGAAAAGAAAUCAACCGAGAUUCCCCCAGUAGCGGCGAGCGAACGGGGAGCAGCCCAGAGUCUGAAUCAGCUUGUGUGUUAGUGGAACGGUCUGGAAAGUCCGACGGUACAGGGUGAUAGUCCCGUACACCAAAAUGCACAGGCUGUGAACUCGAAGAGUAGGGCGGGACACGUGGUAUCCUGUCUGAAUAUGGGGGGACCAUCCUCCAAGGCUAAAUACUCCUGACUGACCGAUAGUGAACCAGUACCGUGAGGGAAAGGCGAAAAGAACCCCGGCGAGGGGAGUGAAAAAGAACCUGAAACCGUGUACGUACAAGCAGUGGGAGCACCUUCGGGUGUGACUGCGUACCUUUUGUAUAAUGGGUCAGCGACUUAUAUUCUGUAGCAAGGUUAACCGUAUAGGGGAGCCGCAGGGAAACCGAGUCUUAACUGGGCGUUAAGUUGCAGGGUAUAGACCCGAAACCCGGUGAUCUAGCCAUGGGCAGGUUGAAGGUUGGGUAACACUAACUGGAGGACCGAACCGACUAAUGUUGAAAAAUUAGCGGAUGACUUGUGGCUGGGGGUGAAAGGCCAAUCAAACCGGGAGAUAGCUGGUUCUCCCCGAAAGCUAUUUAGGUAGCGCCUCGUGAACUCAUCUUCGGGGGUAGAGCACUGUUUCGGCUAGGGGGUCAUCCCGACUUACCAACCCGAUGCAAACUACGAAUACCGAAGAAUGUUAUCACGGGAGACACACGGCGGGUGCUAACGUCCGUCGUGAAGAGGGAAACAACCCAGACCGCCAGCUAAGGUCCCAAAGUCAUGGUUAAGUGGGAAACGAUGUGGGAAGGCACAGACAGCCAGGAUGUUGGCUUAGAAGCAGCCAUCAUUUAAAGAAAGCGUAAUAGCUCACUGGUCGAGUCGGCCUGCGCGGAAGAUGUAACGGGGCUAAACCAUGCACCGAAGCUGCGGCAGCGACACUAUGUGUUGUUGGGUAGGGGAGCGUUCUGUAAGCCUGCGAAGGUGACCUGUGAGGGUUGCUGGAGGUAUCAGAAGUGCGAAUGCUGACAUAAGUAACGAUAAAGCGGGUGAAAAGCCCGCUCGCCGGAAGACCAAGGGUUCCUGUCCAACGUUAAUCGGGGCAGGGUGAGUCGACCCCUAAGGCGAGGCCGAAAGGCGUAGUCGAUGGGAAACAGGUUAAUAUUCCUGUACUUGGUGUUACUGCGAAGGGGGGACGGAGAAGGCUAUGUUAGCCGGGCGACGGUUGUCCCGGUUUAAGCAUGUAGGCUGGUUAUCCAGGCAAAUCCGGAUAAUCAAGGCUGAGGUGUGAUGACGAGGCACUACGGUGCUGAAGUAACAAAUGCCCUGCUUCCAGGAAAAGCCUCUAAGCAUCAGGUAACAUUGAAUCGUACCCCAAACCGACACAGGUGGUCAGGUAGAGAAUACCAAGGCGCUUGAGAGAACUCGGGUGAAGGAACUAGGCAAAAUGGUGCCGUAACUUCGGGAGAAGGCACGCUGGUGUGUAGGUGAAGUCCCUGCGGAUGGAGCUGAGACCAGUCGAAGAUACCAGCUGGCUGCAACUGUUUAUUAAAAACACAGCACUGUGCAAACACGAAAGUGGACGUAUACGGUGUGACGCCUGCCCGGUGCCGGAAGGUUAAUUGAUGGGGUUAUCCGUAAGGAGAAGCUCUUGAUCGAAGCCCCGGUAAACGGCGGCCGUAACUAUAACGGUCCUAAGGUAGCGAAAUUCCUUGUCGGGUAAGUUCCGACCUGCACGAAUGGCGUAAUGAUGGCCAGGCUGUCUCCACCCGAGACUCAGUGAAAUUGAACUCGCUGUGAAGAUGCAGUGUACCCGCGGCAAGACGGAAAGACCCCGUGAACCUUUACUAUAGCUUGACACUGAACAUUGAGCCUUGAUGUGUAGGAUAGGUGGGAGGCUUUGAAGCGUGGACGCCAGUCUGCGUGGAGCCAACCUUGAAAUACCACCCUUUAAUGUUUGAUGUUCUAACGUUGGCCCCUGACCGGGGUUGCGGACAGUGUCUGGUGGGUAGUUUGACUGGGGCGGUCUCCUCCCAAAGCGUAACGGAGGAGCACGAAGGUUAGCUAAUCCUGGUCGGACAUCAGGAGGUUAGUGCAAUGGCAUAAGCUAGCUUGACUGCGAGCGUGACGGCGCGAGCAGGUGCGAAAGCAGGUCAUAGUGAUCCGGUGGUUCUGAAUGGAAGGGCCAUCGCUCAACGGAUAAAAGGUACUCCGGGGAUAACAGGCUGAUACCGCCCAAGAGUUCAUAUCGACGGCGGUGUUUGGCACCUCGAUGUCGGCUCAUCACAUCCUGGGGCUGAAGUAGGUCCCAAGGGUAUGGCUGUUCGCCAUUUAAAGUGGUACGCGAGCUGGGUUUAGAACGUCGUGAGACAGUUCGGUCCCUAUCUGCCGUGGGCGCUGGAGAAUUGAGGGGGGCUGCUCCUAGUACGAGAGGACCGGAGUGGACGCAUCACUGGUGUUCGGGUUGUCAUGCCAAUGGCACUGCCCGGUAGCUAAAUGCGGAAGAGAUAAGUGCUGAAAGCAUCUAAGCACGAAACUUGCCCCGAGAUGAGUUCUCCCUGAGACUUUAAGUCUCCUGAAGGAACGUUAAAGACGAUGACGUUGAUAGGCCGGGUGUGUAAGCGCAGCGAUGCGUUGAGCUAACCGGUACUAAUGAACCGUGAGGCUUAACCU